rnacentral:rRNA from 1 species
GACGAACGCUGGCGGCGUGCCUAACACAUGCAAGUCGAACGGGACCAGGGGCAACUCUGGUUCAGUGGCGGACGGGUGCGUAACACGUGAGGAACAUGACCUUGGCGGGGGAGUAGCCGGCCCAACCGGCCGGGUAAGUACCGCGUACGACCACAUGGGGACGAUCCCUGAGUGGUGAAAGCAGCAAUGCGCCGAUGGAGUGCCUCGCGGCCUAUCAGCUAGUUGGUGAGGUAACGGCNCACCAAGGCGACGACGGGUAGCUGGUCUGAGAGGAUGGCCAGCCACAUUGGGACUGAGACACGGCCCAGACUCCUACGGGAGGGCAGCAGU